rnacentral:pre_miRNA from 1 species
UUAGCCAGAGGAGAAAAGGAGGAUGGAUUUUGUCUUUCCCCCCUCAUCCCUCUCUGACUAGA